rnacentral:rRNA from 1 species
GACGUAGGGAGCGAGCGUUGUCCGGAUUCAUUGGGCGUAAAGAGCGCGCAGGCGGUUUGGUAAGUCGGAUGUGAAAUCCCGGGGCUCAACCCCGGACCUGCAUCCGAUACUGCCCGACUAGAGGUAGGUAGGGGAGAUCGGAAUUCCUGGUGUAGCGGUGAAAUGCGCAGAUAUCAGGAGGAACACCAGCGGCGAAGGCGGCGCUCUGGGCCGGAACUGACGCUGAGGAGCGAAAGCGUGGGUAGCAAACAGG